GAUGAACGCUGGCGGCGUGCCUAAUACAUGCAAGUCGAGCGAACAGACGAGGAGCUUGCUCCUCUGACGUUAGCGGCGGACGGGUGAGUAACACGUGGAUAACCUACCUAUAAGACUGGGAUAACUUCGGGAAACCGGAGCUAAUACCGGAUAAUAUAUUGAACCGCAUGGUUCAAUAGUGAAAGACGGUUUUGCUGUCACUUAUAGAUGGAUCCGCGCCGCAUUAGCUAGUUGGUAAGGUAACGGCUUACCAAGGCAACGAUGCGUAGCCGACCUGAGAGGGUGAUCAGCCACACUGGAACUGAGACACGGUCCAGACUCCUACGGGAGGCAGCAGUAGGGAAUCUUCCGCAAUGGGCGAAAGCUUGACGGAGCAACGCCGCGUGAGUGAUGAAGGUCUUCGGAUCGUAAAGCUCUGUUAUUAGGGAAGAACAAAUGUGUAAGUAACUAUGCACGUCUUGACGGUACCUAAUCAGAAAGCCACGGCUAACUACGUG
rnacentral:rRNA from 1 species